UGUGCCAGCAGCCGCGGUAAUUCCAGCUCCAAUAGCGUAUAUUAAAGUUGUUGCAGUUAAAACGUCCGUAGUCAAACUUUAGUCUUACUGGCGUAGUGGCCUGGUCUUCAUUGACCAAGCUCAUUGCUGCCGGAGACUCCAUGUUCAUUAGGGGAAAAUCUCUAGGGGUUUUUUUCUUAUUUGAACAAUUACCAUGAGCAAAUCAGAGUGUUUAAAGCAGGCUUUUAAGCUUGAAUGUGUUAGCAUGGAAUAAUGAAAUAUGACUUUAGUCCUAUUUUCGUUGGUUUAGGUACUUCAGUAAUGAUGAAUAGAAACGGUUAGGGGCAUUUGUAUUUGGUCGCUAGAGGUGAAAUUCUUGGAUUGACCGAAGACAAACUACUGCGAAAGCAUUUGACCCGGGACGUUUUCAUUGAUCAAGGUCUAAAGUUAAGGGAUCGAAGACGAUUAGAUACCGUCGUAGUCUUAACCACAAACUAUGCCGACUAGAGAUUGGGCGUGUUUAUUAUGACUCGCUCAGCAUCUUAGCGAAAGUAAAGUUUUUGGGUUCUGGGGGGAGUAUGGGACGCAAGGCUGAAACUUAAAGGAAUUGACGGAAGGGCACCACCAGGAGUGGAGCCUGCGGCUUAAUUUGACUCAACACGGGGAAACUCACCAGUCCAGACAUAGUAAGGAUUGACAGAUUGAAAGCUCUUUCUAGAUUCUAUGGGUGGUGGUGCACGGCCGUCUUAGUUCGUGGAGUGAUUUGUCUGGUUAAUUCCGAUACGACGAGACUUAUUCUGCUAUAGACAGGCACUCUUCGGUUGGUCUAUAUUAUAUAUUUCACUGGCUUCUUAGAGAGACUAUCGGCUUCAG
rnacentral:rRNA from 1 species